rnacentral:misc_RNA from 1 species
GUUUCAGUAGGUCUCGUUGUCUGCCAACAGCCAAAAGAACAACUGCUCAUCAGUUUCAAUUUGUUAUACAAGAAUGGAGUAAAUCUCUGAACAAGUUUCUUAGGAAAAAACUGAAGAUUUAGCAACUUUUUUGCCUAUGGCAAUUCUAAACAUUAAUCAAAUAAAUUCUGUUAGUGAUAGUUUACUUAUUUACAAAGCAUAGACAUUAGUCAGAGGCGAAUGAAAAGCACGCCUAAUCUCAUUUUAAAUUACAUUAAAAAUAGCAUUCCAUCCAACAAAGUCAGAUGUGAUUUCACUCUUGAAUACCUAAAAUAAAAGGCAAACAACUUUUUGACCAUUUGGGCAUUAACACACAAAUGGGGAUGACAAAUGUAGUUAAUAUUUUUUUCAGUGGCAUCAAUCCAAAGGUGCAGUUAUUGUUUUUUUACUUAAAAUUAAGGUAGUUAUUAUUUUUUUACUGCAAAAGAAAAAUUAUGGGCCAAAGAAAGUUUUUGCAUGGUAAGGGUUUACUUGCCAAUUGACUAACAUGAAUUCAGAAUACCAGCUUCUAAAAAUUUUGCAUAACAAUUGGGCUCCAGGUGAAGAAUUCAUAAUUUAAAA